GGCCGGAGCCGGGUGAGGCCGCGGAGAACGCACCCCGCUACGCGUCUGCCGAGACGGAGGCGGGCGUUUCGACCACUGCCCGAUCAUGCGCUUACUCAACUCCACCCACACUGGCCUGGACCCAGUCUCUAAGGGCUGAAAAUAUUGCCCGGAGGCUCCCGAGCAGAAUCAGAUCGCGCUAAGUAGGGCACAACGCAGAGGCGACAAAGCUCCUCGGCCCCAGGGCCCGCGGAGCAGACUCCGGAGCACGGUCCCGCCCACGCUCGGCUCCGCAGUUAGCGUCCUCCCUCCUCCUGAGCAGAAAGAAACUCAUUCUGUGUUUCUGAGAAAGGAUCGUGCCAGGCACUGUUUCUGGUGAGUG
rnacentral:sRNA from 1 species